AUUGAACGCUGGCGGCAGGCCUAACACAUGCAAGUCGAACGAGCGGCGGACGGGUGAGUAAUGUAUGGGGACUGCCCGAUAGAGGGGGAUAACUAAUAGAAACGGUGGCUAAUACCGCAUACUAUCGGAUAACCCAUAUGGGAUUAGCUAGUAGGUGGGGUAAAGGCUCACCUAGGCGACGAUCCCUAGCUGGUCUGAGAGGCUGAUCAGCGACACUGGGACUGAGAAAGUGCCCAGACUCCUACGGAAGCAGCAGUGGGGAAUAUUGCACAAUGGGCGCAGGCCUGAUGCAGCCAUGCCGCGUGUAUGAAGAAGGCCUUAGGGUUGUAAAGUACUUUCAGCGGGGAGGCGUUACCCGCAGAAGAAGCACCGGCUAACUCCGGGCCAGCCGCCGCGGUAAUAC
rnacentral:rRNA from 1 species